CAAAAGUUGGAGAACCACUGGAUAAUCCAUUUGGUUCUUGGGCUGGAGGCACAACCCUAAAAGGAGACGCACGCGCUUUUGCCUCUCGUGUUCUCCGUUUUGCUCCGGCUGGUGGGGCUGCAGGGGUAGCUGCUGCCCCUGUCCCAGGCUGGCUAGGGGGAAGGGAGGGACAAGGACCCUGGGCUGGAAGCACUGGGAAUGAAUUCUCAGCCAAUCAGAUUGUGGGGCGUGACACCAGGAGCAUGGGCGAGGACAUGAAGCCAGAGAACUGGGUGGGGAAUGGAGGGGCAACAGCUCCGGAGCCCAUUGGGGUGGCAUUGGGACAGGGGUGCUUGGGAGAGACACCACUGGUCACAAUCCUGUAAGUGGGGAGUGGAUGAACACGAGUGAAUGUCACCACGUGCCUGAGGGAUCCCAGCAGGCCAGGGCCAAGGACUGAAGUGAGAUCCCUCCAUCUGGUCCCUCCAGGGCGUGGUGAGGGGAUAUAAGGGGGGAAUCCUGAUACGGGGACCCCACAACCGGUUCUAAACAAUGGAGGCAAUGUCGUGACUGACAGGUCUGGGAGGAACUGUCUGAGCUCCCCUUAGAGAGAAGCUUGCCACGUUCAGACAAUCUGCAUGGGGCCAGGAGGUGACCAGCCCUGCAAACCAGCUGCUGAGCCACCCCAGAGGGGCCUGGUCCCAACCCAGCGCUCGCCCGGAGCCCAGAUGGAUCCAGCAGCUUCUCCCUCUGCCGGGGCACCGCAGCCCACAGGGCAUCUUCAUGGCAGGAUGGGCCUGGCACAGCCCCAGAUCCAGCCAGCCGGAGCGGGGUGGAAGCUCCUCCCGCCCCACAGGGACCCCUUGCUGCAGCUGUCGUGAGCCCCUGCCUUCGCUUGGAGCUCUCGCCGCCGCCGGGGAGGGGCUGCUGCUGCUGACUCUGCUCUGAGCUCUGCCUGAGGAUGGGGGAGAUGCACUCGGCCCCUGGAGGGGUCAGGAACCGAAGAUUUCAACCAUGCUUCGUGCCUUGCUGUGAACAUCACAUUGCAGCUGCCAUUGGGAGAUGCUGUUAGGGGUCACUACAGAGCAGCGGAUGGCCAAAGAGCCAGUCCCCUGCUCCCAACAGAGCCCCAGGAUGACCCCAAGAGCAGCGAUGUGGGGGAGAUGGAAGUGGAAGAGAUGGGAGAACAAGAGGACGAGGAGAUGGACGUGGAUUAGAACAUCGCUCUGAAUCUGAUCUGUAUAGUGCUGGAUGUGUAUAUGGACCAUAGGAUGUGCCCCUAUAGGAGGGGCACUGUUUACAGACCUAAACCUCUCAGGGAUUUUUUAAAAUAUAUUUUAUUAUUACGUUCUCCUUUGCACUUACAAGCUUUGAGCAGAUUUGGGGAUUAAUGAAUGUUCCGUUUCCAGUGAUGUCACUGUGUCGACAACUCUGGGAUUCGGACACGAUACGGGUACAGUAGGGUAAGGUGCAUCAAAUCUCUUCAAUCCAGACAGCGUGAUCCGAGAGCAGACGAACGACCGGCAGGCUUUGUGCUGACCUGGUGUGAGUCAGAGCAGCCUUGAGGCUGCUGUAACAUUCUGCUCCCCAUAGGCCCAGGAGCAGAGCACAUGCCGAGCCUUCACAACAGCCAGGGAGAUGCCUUGUGCAGGGGAAUUUUCAAGGGCUGUUUACACCCAUUUUAAAUCCCCUUUGCCUCCCAGAGUUACUUAAUGGGGCAGAAUGUGACUGACUUCAGAUUUUUCACAAAUUGGCUGUUUUCUGCGGAAAGUUCUUUUUGUUGUUUUUUUUACCACCACCCCCAAUGUCUGAAAAACAAAAUAUUUGCACUAAACCAAAAACAUUUCAAUCUGUAGAGCCUGCUGGGAUGCUGCAAGGGAGCUGUGGUCCAGGUGUCUCAUGUCCCCAUUCUGCUCUGGGGGGGGACUCUCCUCAUUCUGGUUGGCUGGACUACAUCUCCCAUGAUGCACCAUAGUCAGAGACACCCACGAUACAGCUGGCUCCCCUCACCUUGAGGAGAGACUGUGGUGCACUGUAGGAGAUGCAGUCAGAUCAAGAAACCACCAAGCCUCCUGAGAAAAAUGCACCAUGUUAUAUGUUGUUUCAUGUCAUGAAAUAUUUCAGUUCAAUGUAAUCCUACCAGGGUACCAUGUGGCCUCAUGGCAGCAUUACAUUGAACUGAAAUAUUUUGGUUUUCAACUUUUUGCCUAAAAGUGUAACUUUCUGUAGAAAAUUUCAGUGAAAAUUAUUCCCCCCCACACAUUUUUAUCAGUUUGCCAUGGUGGGGGGACCCACUUUUUCCAACCAGCACUGCCCGUGCCAUCUGCUUACCCAGCUGAACCCUAGAGGGAGGGUGUUACAAUAGCUGGAAUGGGGGUGCAACAGUGGGCAUAUCUCUGUAAACACUCCUGACUGUGCAAAGCUGUUUGAAUGGUGGAUUCUUGUUCUUGAAACACUGGAGAUGAGAGCUGGUCGAAAUGUUUCAAUGGUUUUUUCAAUAAAAAGCUUUUUUUUCCAACAGUGAGAUUUUUCAUGCACAGUUGUCGACCUUUUAGUUUGUUUGCCAAAAAUAAAUAUUUUAAUACUUUUUGAUAAUUUCCAAAACGCAGAGCAAAAAUACUGGUUUGCUGAAAAAGUGGAUUUUGGCAAACAAAAUAAAUAACUGUUUUGGAUUAAACAUUCGAACAAAAAUGAAGAAAAAUGGGUUUGUUUCAAACACAUUGAAAUGAAAACAACUUUGCCACUGUGCAUGAAAAUGGCUUUUUGUAUUUUGACCAGCUCUACUAGAGGCCACACUGUUAACAGUCUUCGUUGUUUUAAAAGAUAUAUCCUAGCAGGGGCAUUAAAACCUGGCAUAGGGAUCUGAAUGCACUGUGAUUUGUACGUCUGUGCAGUAUUGCUACAUACCAGAUGUUUCUAUUCUUCUGAUGAUUUAUGACACUGGAAAGCAAGGGAUUGUGUUGUAGAAAACCCAGGGUUUUGAACCAGAUGCUUUUAAGACGAAUGUAUUUCUUUAUUUUGAGGUGUAAAAAUACACUUUUAUUUGUUCUGUCA